UGAUUUAAGGAUACGUAGAACUGCGGUGAGUUUUCCUUGUGGUCUAUUAUAUUACAAUACACAGGUUGUAUAAGUAGCAACUGAGUAUAGGUAUUGUAUUAACUGGGUUAUAAUGUUACCUAUCACUAAUAUAGCUCAUAACUGAACUGAGGAACGAGGUUCAGUUGUAACGCUAUUUAUAAUAUUUCUAAAUAGUUGUUAUCAACGGGUAUCUAUGUAUAUAGAAGGAUAGUUACCCGUGAUUAUCAAUAAACGGAUCUUAGCUAGUAUUCCAACAUAUGACAUAUAGUGAUACGCAACGUAGUGUAGCAUAGCGUAGUGUAGUAUUGCUGACAU
rnacentral:lncRNA from 1 species